rnacentral:rRNA from 1 species
GCGGAGGGAUCAUUACUGAGUUUACGCUCUACAACCCUUUGUGAACAUACCUAUAACUGUUGCUUCGGCGGGUAGGGUCUCCGUGACCCUCCCGGCCUCCCGCCCCCGGGCGGGUCGGCGCCCGCCGGAGGAUAACCAAACUCUGAUUUAACGACGUUUCUUCUGAGUGGUACAAGCAAAUAAUCAAAACUUUUAACAACGGAUCUCUUGGUUCUGGCAUCGAUGAAGAACGCAGCGAAAUGCGAUAAGUAAUGUGAAUUGCAGAAUUCAGUGAAUCAUCGAAUCUUUGAACGCACAUUGCGCCCGCCAGCAUUCUGGCGGGCAUGCCUGUUCGAGCGUCAUUUCAACCCUCAAGCUCUGCUUGGUGUUGGGGCCCUACAGCUGAUGUAGGCCCUCAAAGGUAGUGGCGGACCCUCCCGGAGCCUCCUUUGCGUAGUAACUUUACGUCUCGCACUGGGAUCCGGAGGGACUCUUGCCGUAAAACCCCCCAAUUUUCCAAAGGUUGACCUCGGAUCAGGUAGGAAUACCCGCUGAACUUAAGCAUA